UAGUGGCAUUAGGACCACUUGACACAUCCUGAAAAUAUAAGGACAUCUUGAUUUCUGUAAGCUGCUGCUGAGUUUCUGCUGAACUUGCAGAAAUUGCUACAAGGAAAAGCAAAGCUAAGAAAAAGCUGGAGGAUCCUGCUAAAGCUGCCAUUGAUGGAUAUAUGGCAGAAGAUGGAGGAUAUAUGGGUUAUUUAUAGUGCAA
rnacentral:misc_RNA from 1 species